rnacentral:rRNA from 1 species
AAUGAACGUUGGCGGCGUGGAUUAGGCAUGCAAGUCGUACGAGAAUCGUAGCAAUACGAGGAAAGUGGCGGAAGGGAGAGGAUUACGUGGGAAUCUACCCUCAGAACUGGGAUAGCGGCGGGAAACUGCCGGUAAUACCAGAUAAUGUCUGUGGACCAAAGGUGUGAUUCCGUCUGGGGAUGAGCCCACGUCCUAUUAGCUAGUUGGCAGGGUAAUGGCCUACCAAGGCAAUGAUGGGUAGCGGGUGUGAGAGCAUGACCCGCCUGACUGGGACUGAGAACUGCCCAGACACCUACGGGUGGCGGCAGGCGAGAAUCUUCGGCAAUGAGCGCAAGCUUGACCGAGCGACGCCGCGUGCGGGAUGAAGGCCUUCGGGUUGUAAACCGCUGUCGUAGGGGAGCAAGAGAUGAGGGUACUCCCUCUGAUUUGAGCGAUCCUAGGAGGAAGGACGGGCUAAGUUCGUGCCAGCCGCCGCAGUAAAAC